GCCGGCGUAGCUCAGCGAGUAGAGCGCGGGCCUCGUAAGUCCGUUGUCGCGGGUUCGAAUCCCGCCGCCGGCU
rnacentral:tRNA from 2 species